AUGCCCAGCUUUUCAAGUGAAGGCAUCACAUUGGGAGCUUCGUCCUUGAUGAAGGUGCUGAAGGUCCUGCAACAUCUGUUGGGCUUCAAACUACCCCUUCCACUUUAAUGGCAAAGGAUAUAAAUAAUUACAUCUGUAAAUGAAAAGCAAAUAAAACCUAACUGGUGAAUUAUGAUACUUUUAGAUACUGGAAGGCGACCAAUAGAAAAAAGAAUACAAGAGAUAUAGAAAGAAAGGCCUACUACAUGAAGUAUUUCCACUCUUCAAAUGUCUUCGGAAUGUCUUCAAAAGAAAAAACAAGUCCAGCUGCCUCCUGAAAAAAGCACCUUUAGGACAACCAUGACCUGGAUGACUGAGAAUCUACAUAGACUUUCACCUAUGCAUUUUGGGAUGAACAUCUUUCGAAUGGUGUGGAAGUAUGAACGGAUUUCCAGAAAAACUGCAGACUACAGGAAUCAUUUGCACUUCAGUUUGAGAUGCAGACAACACAGACUCAUCCCCAACAGAGCCUGCACCUGUCUUCAACAGAGAAGGGACACAGGGCAGAAAAACAUCCUGCAGCCAAGAAGGCUUCACACCCAUUUGCACUACUCAGGUGACCCUGAGGACACAGAUAAACCCCCAAGUGGCCUCAAUGACUCUCUAAAAAAAUGCAAAUGACCAACUCUCUGCAACGGAUAUAAAUCCUUCCAUUACCUACCAUCCAGUCAGAGCUGAAGAAGGCUUCUUGGAUGAGAAGCGAAAUGUCUUCAAAAGACGAAACAAGGAAGUCCAGUUGUCACCUGGAAAAGCACCUUUAGGAUAGCCUUACUUCAUCACAGUUAUCCUGAUGUUUGGACUGAAUUUGGCAUUUGUAUGCAUCUAUUGAGUCAGAUGUUCUUGUUUGAUGGUAUUAAAUAGAUCAUUGAUGAAUGUAAA